rnacentral:lncRNA from 1 species
CUUAAGGCUCCCAAGGCUCCGUUUCUUAUGUGGAAGAAGAAUAGCAGGAGAAUCUCUUGAACUCAGGAGGCGGAGGUUGCGGUGAGCCGAGAUGGUGCCGUUGCACUCCAGCCUGGGCAACAAGGGCUAAACUCCAUCUCAAAAGAAAAGAAAGAAAGGGAAGUAGAAGUAGGAUUUAACAAAGGACCGAGAAGUCGGUUGAAUAGCCAGGUUCAGACAGUGUUGGCAAGAACGGAUCUUUGGCAAGAUCACUUAAGGUGAGCUACUCUAGCAGCAUCCUGUUUGACAUUUGUAUCCAUAACUUGAAUAAGAAUAUAGAAGGCAAAGAAGAGUGCUGGGCAAGAUGUGUUGGAUGUUAGAUCUGCAGUACUCUUCACAGUGUAAUGGCUAAAUGUAAAGUCUUACAUCUCGGUUCAAGAAAGCACGUUGCUAUAUGAAAUUUCAGAAAAAAGUUUUGUUGCGGGGGGUGGGAUAUUGAUCAUUUGAACAUAUGCCAGUUGUUUCUCCUGCCCUAGGGGAGGUUGGCACGGCAACCUUCCCACUCUCUAGGUGGGUAGCCUUGCUGAUGGGGCACGUCGUCACCAAGGGACCUGAUUGUUGUCAUGGUUUUGUCUUGUCCUCCUCCCUGGUGAAAGUCUACUGCAGUUUUAUUCUCAGCUCUGGAGGGAGAGGGAACGAGCCUCUGCCUGUGUGUCCUGACCCCUCUUGCCUUGUUUUUGAUCUGCUCAGGCCGGGUGCAGUGGCUCACGCCUGUA